CUGCUAACGCGGGGGUCCUGCGUUGUGCGUCGCCGGGAAGCGAGACGGCACUGCACGGCGUGGGUGAGAAAUACCCUUUGAACCUGAUCUGGAUAAUGCCAGCGCAGGGAAGCGUUCGGGCUCGCCGC
rfam:Burkholderia phymatum STM815 chromosome 1, complete sequence.